ACGACCUUACUAGAGCGGGAUCAGUUCUACAGGAUCAUACCUCUGUGUCCUUAAAUUCUAAGGAGGCAGAUACCACAGGCUGGUGGAUGAUUCAUGACCGUAUGAUCAGAGCAUGACUAACAGUAUUGUGGUUCACAAAUCACAAUAGCCGUAAGGAUCAUUCUCAGCCAUUGAUUAGGCUGAGCUGGCCACAUGGUUAUCUGACAGACU